UGCGUAGACGGGAAAGCAAGUUAGUUGUGAAAUCCCUCGGCUUAACUGAGGAACUGCAACUAAAACUACUUUUCUUGAGUGCAGGAGAGGAAAGUGGAAUUCCUAGUGUAGCGGUGAAAUGCGUAGAUAUUAGGAGGAACACCAGUGGCGAAGGCGACUUUCUGGACUGUAACUGACGUUGAGGCACGAAAGUGUGGGGAGCAAACA
rnacentral:rRNA from 1 species